GAGGCACUGUGGAGCCAAUGGAAGGACUGCAUGUAUGGUUAAUAAUGAGGAGGCACUGUGGAGCCAAUGGAAGGACUGCAUGUAUGGUUAGUAAUGAGGAGGCACUGUGGAGCCAAUGGAAGGACUGCAUGUAUGGUUAGUAAUGAGGAGGCACUGUGGAGCGCGCCCACGGCUCCUUGAAAACAACUGAAAAGGAUAAACGCUGCAGACAGAUCUGGCAUGGCGACACCAAGGCAGAAAGGAAAGAAGGCUGGAUGAGAUGACUGCUUCUACAGCAAAGGAGCGGCAGACCCGAUGACAUCGCAGCUGCAAACGCCCGCCCCAUAGAGGAGCUGGAGAGGAGUCCAUGUCCAGUCUCCCGGGCACCCAGAGAGAGGAGUGCCGGUCUGCAGGACCUGCUACCACUGCUCUGCGCUGCAGGGUGCCAUGCUGCUCUGAGGACAGAUGCUGAGCUGCCUCUAGACACACAGAACACACACAGACCCAGAGGACCUGCUGCAGGACGACUGCAGUUUUCUGCAGCCUGAAUCCUGUUUGCUUUGGAGCUGAACUAGAAAUGCAGACUGAACAUUUGACUGCUUUAAUCUUUGGGACACAGACCUCAUUUUGAUUGAAAUAUUGGACCUGAGAACUAAGACCUAAGCUUUCCCCUCAGGGAAAGA